ensembl:lncRNA SNHG8 small nucleolar RNA host gene 8
CGGAAUAGCGUCAUCAGUUCUAUAAGAGAGCGUGUGCCGAAGGCCUCGGCCUUUCACAUUCGGGAAGCGUCGGGAUUAGGUGAAAGUACGUAGUUGUCUUUCGUAAGUUAAAAUGAUAAUUGGGCCGAAACUUACUGCCUUACCUAAAAGGCAGCGCAGUCAGGAUAUUGGUAGGUCGGGGGCGGCUUUGGAAACCCUUAAGUUUACAAGCAUGCGCGGACUUGAGUGCUCAUUAGGUCGCCGGGCGUCCACGUGCAGCCCUGGACCCUGAACCCCGGCGUGCGUGGGCCGUGGGCCCUCGGGGAAAGGUUCCGUGCACUCGGGGACUCCGGUGAAGCCUGUUCAGCCGUCUGUGUCAUGUGGCCAUCUUGAGUCUACUCUGUCGCUCUUGUGCCCUAGCACCCCGAGAACCGUCAGUUUGAGCCAGAUGGAAGCUGAGCUGAACACAUUACGAUGGAUGAUGGAAACAUAAGACUAUCAAGAAAUCCAAGUGGUAAUGGGCGAAGUUUAUUCAGCAUCCGGCAAUGGACUUAUCGUAGUUGGGGAAACGGGUGUUCCGAAUAAUAUCCUGGAAGUUAUCAGGACACCUAUUUUAAAUAUAGGCCUGAAUUUUGUAAAGUAAUAUUUAAGGUGGUCCGUGAUAAUUAAAUAAAAUGCUUAAUUCAUGUGGCUACUCAUUGUUCCUUGACUGAGUGAUUAAUAGACGGAAAGGUAGUUAAUAGCAUAAUACCUCCUAUUUAGUGUUACACGCUCAUGUGGAAGUAGUGUGAGUACAGUUCUAAGGUAAUUGCAGCCUUUGUGAAAAAUGUAAAAUAUAAAAAUUACCAGGCUACCCCCAAGGGAGACAGCAGACUCUUUUUAAACCAUACAAAAAUUUAAGGCAGUUAUACAAGGUGGAAAAUUAUGUAUUUAUUUACACAAAUAUGCACAGAACACUUGUAUCUUUCAAAAGUCACACUUAAGACAUAGUAAAAGCAUGUUGUAUGAACCAUGUAUUCUUAAGGAUUGAGCAAACUGCAGGCUGCUUGCUGCCUUUUAGGUUUGCUAGUCCCUGAUCUACUUGAAACAGAUGUUGCUUGCCCCAACACUAGUUUAAUUAUAAGGGCAGCCUGUGAGAAAGUUUCAAUAGACAUUUUUCUCACCUAUAUUGCACGUUUUUCUGAAGCCCUUGUGCAAGUGUGUGUGCCAUGUGUAGUUCUAUUUACAUAUAAACGCUACUUUAAAAGUUUAUCAAAAUCAUGAGUUUUUACAAAAGUUUUUAAUGCUCUUCUGCAUUAUAUGCAGCAUUGCAAAUCUGCAAAGUAGUAAAACUAUAAAGCACCUUUAGGUUUGCACCAGUUAUUACAGAAAUGGGGAUUUGUGAAAAGGAUGUAAUUUGAUGUAGAAGGGCAAAGUCCUUUAAUGACUGGCAUUCAAGAGGAUUACUUAAAACAAUUUGUAAGUUCAUGCUAACCUCUUCCCUAUAUUUAUACUACUGGGACCUGGGGAAGGAUCCAUGACAUGGAAGUAUCUUGAGUGUGCCUUUUAAAUUUGAGCAUUACUGCUAAGAAUGUUCUGUAAAGGUGCAUAGUUAAGCAGCUAUCCCUUAACUCUUGGAGAAAUAGCCAUAGGGAAACCAAUCAUUUAGGUAGGAGAACCAUGGGGAAAAAAAUCAGCAUUUUUUCUGGAGUUUGGAAUCAGUUUCACCAACUGGUCUCACUUUGAGGCAAGCCUGUUUUCCCCCAUUUGAAAACAAGGGCUACUACCAUAAGAUUUACUGGCCUUUUGCAAAUUGUCAGUGAUGUGCAAAGCUGCCUAAUGCAGUGCCUGGCAUAUGUUAUAACUGCUGUAUGUAUUAGAACUUUUCAAUGUGUAGGCCAGGAAAGCAUUUUGACUAGUAUAUUUUAAGAUUGGAUUGUAUCAGGUUGGGCUUGGGAAAACCUGCAGGUAUAAGUCAGUUACAGGGAAGUGUCAGUGGGUGGCACUCUUACAUCAUGGUCGGGGAACGUGGACUAUGAUGAGGUGCUUGUUAAAAGCAAAUAUAGUAGAUAUGUUAAUGUGUUGGAUAAAAUAGGUUGUAUGUCCAGCUGGCAUUUAGUUACCAGAAAUCCUUUCAAAUUUUGCUAGUUUAUACGCUGUAGGUAGAAAGUAUUUUUAUCUUAUGGUUUCUGUAGCACUUGGUACUCAACAAGGAUACUUGUUUCCAAAUAUCAGAUCACUUUGAGAAUAUAUUGUGACAGGCAGAUGUCCUUGAGGCUUUACUACUCCUAUUCAGGCCUAAAAGUUUAUAGUGGAAUUCUUUAACCACUGAUUUCCUCACUUGACAAAGGCUACAGAGAAUAUGAAGAUUUCUUGUCAAGUCUUUUGAAAAGACCUAAGCAUAAAUAUGCCACUCAUGAGUGUAGUAAAGGGUACCGCAUUUAUGUCAAAUGUGGGUAUUUAAUAUGAUUUCAGACACCACUGAUUCAAUUAAAAGGGGUUCUCAGUUCAAAUGUAAAAAUGAUCUUUUGUAAAAUCAGCAUAGAAUGAUUUUGAGAAAUAGGUAGGGGAUAGAUGAGGCUUAGAAUAAGUCACUCCAGUGAAAUUAGGGUAGAAAAUGUUCAUUUAAGGAUUAUCACUUCCACUACACUGAGGCCUCUGAAAAUGUUCACAAAUUUCUCAAAAGCAGCAGGGGGUACACAAUUUUUUACCACAACACAAAGCAAAAACAGAUCUUGCCAUUUGUUGUCAUCUCUGCUGAGUGCUAAUAGUGGGGGUUCAAAGUUUUCCAUUUGUUUAAAUGCUGCUUUGAAGUUUCCAUGAAGAAUUACAGUUUGGUGACACUUUUUAUCCAAGGUACAAAGGCUGAGACUUUGGUAUAAACACCAGGAGAAUCCUUGACUCCACAGCCAUACCCCCAGGAGGUCACCCCAUACACCACCCAGCUCUCUCCGGGCCGUUCACACAUGAGUGGUCCUCCGCUGUCUCCCUGGCAGCUGUCCACGCGUUUGUGUUCAUGGAGGUUUCCAGCACAAAGCAUUCUCCCUGUAAACCGACCCUUAUAACGUUCUUCACAAAACCUUUUAGGAAGUAAGGGAAUGGCUGCUUGUUGUAGUGUUCUUGAAUAGGCUCGUCCUACUCAGACCAAACAUCUGAUUAGUGGCAUUCCAGAUAACCAUCGCAACAUUUAACAGUUACUGAGCAUGUAAUAGUUAUGAAAAUAAAAUCCCUGUUGUGGCAUUAGUGUAGUUUAAAAUGAGCAAUGACUAACUGGUAUGUACUAUUGUUAGCUGCCUUUUUUAAUGUUGACACAAUCUUAACCUUCACAAAUUUCUCAGUACUGAAUUGUCUGAGGAAUAAUGAAUAACAUUUAUGGAUUUGUAGAGUAAGGUGACCUAAGAAAGCAUAUUUGUGCAGGCUUUCGUAUUUGAAUUCUGUAUAUUAAAAAGCAUAGAAUGCAUUAAUGCUGGUUUCGCAUUAGCACAUCAAUUCAUAUCUACUUCACUGAAUUAAACUGAGUUCUCAGUUUAUGCUAAAGUUCUCAUUAGAACCAACAAUACCUCCAGAAUAUAAGUCUCAAUUACAUGCAUGCAUUUCACACUAAGCAAAAUUUCUCCAAAUAAGUCUGAAUCCAUUUAAGAUCUUAUUGCCCAUUGCACACCCAAAUAUAUGGAUAAUACCAGACACAAAAAGGUGCCCUGCUUUUUUUGAUUAUGCCUUACCUGUGUCACCCCAUCCUGUUAUGUAACAGUUGGAUGCUGUUUUCUGUGGCCUCUCUCUCCAGAGUGGUAAACAGGCUGGCAAAACAUGGCUGCUGAAUCUGGCACAUUGCUCUUCUGGUCCUUGUAAUCUAACCAGGGCUAUGUCAUAAUCACUGCGGUCGGGUCGAUACUCCCGAUGAAUCACAAUCUGUUGAACUCCAAUUUCUUCCUCAAACUCCUCUGGUACCAGAGUAUGAUAAUCUCCAACCCUAACAGCAUAGCUCCUAGUGCUGUUGCCAUACCUGAGAGGCAGAGAGUACUAAUGAGAGACUUGCUUCAGAUACUGAAAAUUAUUGUCAAGAAGGAAGACUAAUGAAGAUACAAGCCUUUCUUCCAAAUCAUCAGCCCCUUUUGUAAAUUCAACCUUUCUUUCCAUUUAUCUGACCCACCAUUCCUGAUCCUCUACUGCAAACCCAUUGUCAUAACCUCAUCUUCAUUUCAUUAUGUAAUCUGUUCUCCAAGAAGGAGCAAAUGUGGAGGAUGAGUGGAAAAUAAAGACUAAUCAUUAAUCUGUCAUUUCCCAAAUGAAAAGCGAUCAAAACAGGAAUAGGUCAAAAUUAUUGUCCUGUGUUGUUGCCCUGUUAUUUCCAAGAAUUGUUAGUUUGUCAUGAAGCUCUGUGAGGGCAGAAACUAACUUUGUGUCCCUCAAAGUACUUAGUACAAUCGACUUCACUCUUGCAAGGUGGACUUAAACUACUUCCCUUUCCUCUAAAGUGAAUGCAAACCCAAACUAUACUUUCAGAUAAACAUAUAUUCCUUCUAUCCUUUCCCCUCUUUUAAAUCUUUAUUCAGAUGUCACCUCAAUGAAGCCUACUUUGACACCCUCGUAUUUAAAAUUGCAACCCAUCUUUCUUUUUCCUCCCAUCAUCAAACACUCCCAAUAUCAUUCAUCUCUACUUUUCCUCGUUUUUAAGCAUCACUUUGUAACAAAACUAUCUAAUUUACAAUUUAUUGCAUUUAUCCUCCUCCCUGCUUGAGUCAAAGCUAUUCCAGGUCAGAGAUAUCUUUGUUGUGUUCACUGAUUAAUCUAAAACACCUAAAAUAGUGUUGUGCCAUUAAUUAGGAAUGCAAAAAAUUGAUUAAGUUAGUGAAUGCUUAUUAUUAAUGUAUACUUUCUAUAGUCCAUUAAAAUAGAAGCAAUAUUUACCAGAUGGAUAGUUCUCAGCCCAUUUUUCAGCCAUCAUACUAAAGUAUGAUGAUUCUGAUACCAAACCCACCUAAAGCAGGGUUUCUCAAUCUCAGAACCUAUUAACAUUUUGGACCAGGUAAUUAUCUGUUGUGAGGGCUGUCCUGUGCAUUAUAGUGUGUUUAGAAGCAUCCCUGGCCCCUAUUCACUAGACGCCACUGGUACAUGGUACACAAACCCUCCAUCCCCAGUUGCGAUUACCAAAAAUGUCUCCAGACAUAGUCACGUGUUCCCUGUUAGGCAAACUGCCCCCAGUUGAGAACCUCUGACCUAGAAUGCAUGACACAACCCAUCUCCUAGUUACUUCCUCUUUUUCACAGAAGACUAGAGCUCCAUGCUCAUUGCAUUCCACUACUUAUAACAUUCUUAAGACUUAAUUUCCAAUAACUUUUCCUUUGUAGUUCCCUGACUUACUCAUCUGCAAUGAGUGUAUUCUCCACCUCAUCUCAGCCACACACUUACAAUGUAAAACCUAGACCUUGUAUUCACCAGGUAACCACACACCUCUGAAAUCUUGAUUUCACACAUACCGUUAUUUCUGCCUUCUGUUUUUACAGCUCUAAAAUCCUUCAAACCCAUUGGACUUCUAUCCUUUGGCCCUACUAUUUUUUCAUUUUAGUCUUUUAUGACUUCCCUUAUUAUCUGGCUUGGGUUCUACCGUCUGCCCAUUACAACAAUCACUCGAAAAACUACCCUGCUUGUCUUUUACCUGCCAAAACUCCAGCCCUGGUUUCAUCAGCUCUACCUAUUUUGUGCCGGCAUCUAACUGUUAAAGUGGGGAAGCACGCAUGUAACAACUUUCACCUUAAAUUUUUUUUAACCAAAACUUGGGUCUUUUAUUGUUUACAAGACCUGUACUUGAAUGUGAACUUAGAACUGAGUUGGUAUUCAAAAGCUUGGCAUUUUCUAGUGUCUAUUUAAAAUAAAACUUCCCACUUCUAUAAAAUUACUGGAGGUUAUGAGAUGCCUGAAUAUUCUAAUCCUUAAGUAGGGCUCUGACCAUCUCGUAUAUAUGAUUAACUGUCAGCGCUCAAAAACUAAACAGUGCAAUAAAGAUGAUUUGGCUUAUAUAGCCACCUACUGUUGAUCUUUAAUAUUAAUAGUUAAUCUGUGAUUUCUUGAGACUCAAUCUUAAAUCAUCACAUAUCUUUAAAGUUCAGAGGCUUUUUAAUAUAUUGUGCCUAAAGUAUAUGCUCUUAUAGCUUCCUUGAAAAUUUAAGUAAAAUUUAGGAUUAUUUCACAUACUGAACUAAAAAGUAAU